rnacentral:lncRNA from 1 species
AUGAUUGGCAUCCAGAAGAAAGGCAUUCCAAGACCUGUCUCAAUAUAUAAAGCCCUUAUGGAUAAUAGGGAUGACAUUUCACCAACUCAGAAGUCUGCAAAGAUAGAAAGUUCAAGACCUCAGCUUUGGUCACAGAGUUAUUGCGUCACCGCUGUAUCUGAGAGUCCCUCUAGACUGAAGUUAAGCGAUGCAUUUUGCUGAAAGCAAGCCUUGGCGUGCAAGACCACCUUCAAGGGUUCGUGGCUCCAGCUGGGAAGAGAGCAAGAACUAGUAGUAUUGAGCACGUGCUGCAGACACGGGGCUGGCAUCGCUCACAGCAUCUCUCCUCGAAGCAAGGAGACCACCCGCGUGGCCCACGGCAGGAUUCUCGGCAUAAUUUUUUUUUCAGUAUUCGGAACAAUUGUGUCUAGAAGACUAUAAACGCACUUGUUGAUUUAUUGUUUUUUAUAUUGUCCAUCUUACUCUACCUCCUUCCCCGGCUAGAAUAGAUUUAUCUCCUUCUGUCUUCCUUUUCCCCCCUUUUUUUUCUUUCCACCACCAGAUUCCCAGGACCUAGAAGAGUGCUGGUGAGCCAGAGCGGGCACUCAGAUAUGUGGAAUGAUUAGGUGAUUUUACCUUAGGGUUUUCUUUUCAUGUCCCUGCAAAGACUCUACCCUAGCAGGUCUUGUGUUUGAUUCCUGAGAACAAAAUGGCCAUUUUGAGCAUUUGCAUGUGAAGAUCGCAUUCUUCUCUGCUGUAAAUAAAACUCAAACAUUUCUCCCAAGUGACCCGGCUUCACAGGUGUACAUCCUGAGAACCAGAAACAUCUGGGUGAAGGAGGCGGCGGGGGGUGGGGGGGACCUGCAAUGUUCCAACCCCACAAAAUGCUUUUCAAAAGACAAAACGCGAGAAAGCUUUAGGGACAGCCAAAGCCUUUUGCAAAAAGGGCUCCCUUGGGGAAGGAGGGAAAAAUUCGCAACAGAGGUUUCCCUGGGGCUGGAAGUGUAACUGGUCUCAAGAGUCGUCUGACCCAACAGCACUGCUUGAGGGAGUGUGGGUUCCAAGCUCAGCUUCGGCCAGACCCAGGAUUUCUCCUACCCAGUUCUGGGGACAAACCAGAUGGAAAUGGAAGCUGUUGGAGAUCCGAAGUGCAAGGGAAAGUACAUGUGGCUUACAAGGGAAGGACUCAUUUCUAUUUAUUUCUUAACACAAGGCUGUUCUUUAGUUGGCAUUCCCUGCAUUCUUGCAUAAUCGUGUUUCAUUUACUUAUGUGUGGGUGUUACUAGCAACUGUACACUCUUUCCUUCAAUAAAUAAGGCAAGUGGGACCUCGCCAUUAGAAAAUAUAUUGAUUUGCCUUUGUUUUUUUAACUUGUGGGAUAAAGUAAUUAGCCUGUUGGUUUCAAGAUACCGACCUAAAUAAAUGUUAAAAACUCUGAGCAGUAAAUAUUUCUGAAAUUUCAGCACAGGAUAUCUGAUGCACUUUGCAGGGGGGAGGGCGGGCAGGGUAUUUUCUCCUCUUCCAUUUGAGUUUGACCUUCUUGCCUACCAGAGUUAUGAAAAUCAGAAAAGAAUUAUUUCUCCCAUCCUGGUUCUUUUCUGAAGAGCUCAUCUUGAAAGAGUAACGCCAAGGUCAGCAGGGGCUUCUCCAAGUGGCAGGUGUUUUUCUCUUAUCGAAGGAGAUAAAGGGUAAGAGUAGGAGAGCAUCUGGUCUUCCCGCUGGGACACAAGAUGCAAGGAGGAAAGUCUCUUUGGUCCUUUAUUAAUAUUCUAUUAAUAUGUAUCACACGAAUGGCAAAUGAUGGACACUCAUAAAAAUUAGCUGAAUUUGAACUUUAAGUGAGGGAAAUAUUAGGGAGAUAAGAGAUGGAUUUAAAGAGGAUAAAGUAAAGUAUUCCUUUGCUUAAUAGCUAUUGAGCUCCUAAUAUGCAGCAGGCACUGCCCAGAUUCCAGAGUUAAAACCACAAAGAAGAGAAGUUCUCUUCCCUAAAGUCCAAGGGUGGAUGGACAGUUAAAGCAAACUCAGUGCUAUGACGGAUGCGAACGCAUGAGAGAAGAUGGGAGGAACAUCUAAGUGUUACAAGGAGGUCACAGAAGGCCUCAUGGAAAAAGUGACGAAUAGGAGUUAACCUGCCAAGAGGAAAAGAACAGGGAAAACAUGUGCAAAAGUCCAGAGGAAGACACAGCAAACAACCUGAUAGAACUACAAAUAGUUCCCUGUAGUUGAAGGGUAAGUUGGGGGUGGCCGUGGCAAGUCACUGUGGGAGAGAACAGACCAUGAAAAAGACAGGAGGAAGUCAACGGAGAAUUUUAAGUAGGAGCGACGGGAGGGACGUGAUUAAAGAUUCAGGAAGAUCACUAUGGAUGGAAAAUGUGGUUGGACGGAAGACAAGGGAAGAGUCUUCCAGCAGAGAAGGGAGUGGUGCACAGGGUCAAAUGUUCAGAGGUCAGGUCAGAUAAGAAAUGAGCACUUGUUCGUGAGAUUCGGAGAUAUGGGGAUAGUUUAUGACCUGGGUGAGAGCAGUUUCUGAGGAGAGGUGUGGGCAGAAACAGAUUGCAGUCGAUUGAGAGGAAAGGG